UGGGUAACCUGCCUCAAAGAGGGGAAUAGCCUCCCGAAAGGGAGAUUAAUACCGCAUAAUAUGUUUAAGUCGCAUGACUUUAACAUCAAAGGAGUAAUCCACUUUGAGAUGGACCCGCGGCGCAUUAGCUAGUUGGUGAGGUAACGGCUCACCAAGGCAACGAUGCGUAGCCGACCUGAGAGGGUGAUCGGCCACAUUGGAACUGAGACACGGUCCAGACUCCUACGGGAGGNAG
rnacentral:rRNA from 1 species